ensembl:lncRNA
GUAAUUCUGCUUUCAGUAUUUCCUGAUUUCAUAUUUGUAAAUAUAAAGAACUACAAUUAUGAAAAAUUUAAAAAGAUAUAUCUAUGUACUAUGUUUCCUGUCUUGAAGAUUUUGAGUUAUGAUAUUGUUUUCAGAUUGAUUAAUUCGAGUAUGCUGUGUUUUGAAAUGAGAUCCCAUUAGCUUUUUUUUCAAUAUAAAUUGUUUUUCAUAAAAGUCUGAUAUUGGUUCAUGGCCUAGUGCCUUGGGUUUUACAGACUUUUUCUUUUAAAUGCAAGACGUUUUCAACAAAAUAGUGUUUGUCAUCAGUUUGGUACUAAACAUUUAUAAUUACUGUGUAAUUAUAAACAAAAAAUACAUAAAGCUUUGAAUAUAAUUAUGUAGCAUAAAAGUUAAGGUUCACUCUAUGAUGGCAUCUUAGAAUUAAUACUCUUACUAGGGCUGAGAAGAGAAGACUGAUUUUAAUGUGGUGUGAUUAUUCUGGGGAUAAAUGUCUGCUUCCAGGGAAUAUUUUGUACUAAAAAAUGCUUACACAUAUGGCCAUGUGUGAGUGUGUGUGAGUGUGUGUCUGUGAAAGAGAGUUAUUGGCAGAGAGAGGUUGAGAGAGACACACUCACACACAACACGCAACUUGAAUCGCUUUAACUCAUUAGUGUUUCAGUCUUUCUGGUAAACUCCCCAUGCUGAUUUUCCUUUGCCAAAUGUCAAAACAGGUACACAUUUUAAAAUGUAAUGCUUUUUAAAUAGUAAAGUGUAUAAAAUUAGAAGUGCCCACAUGAAAAAUACUUGAGAUGAAGAGUAUCUUUAGUGACUAUCAUCUGCAUAUCUCUGUAAGUUCAAUUGUGUUCUUACAAUCCCUGUCACAUUACCAACCGAGGCAAUAAAAGCUUCAGUGAAAUUGCCAUGACUAAAUCUUUUCACACAUUAUUUCAGUGUAAUAUUUUUAAAGACUAAAAUAUACCUGAAAAUUUUUCCAGGAUGAAUGAAUAAUCACAGAAAGAGCAUUAUAAUGGCAAGUUUUGGGGAGAAAAGACAUGCCAAGUCUUGUUUACUACAUUUAAAAUGUUUACAACUAUACUGGGCUGCUCUCUUAAUUAACAGUACUGUAGUUGUGUAAUAUGACAUUGUAAGUGUGUGUUCUUCAUUAGGCUUUUAAUUUAAAAGUUUUAAUGAGAGAAAGUAAACUUAAUAAAAUAACAUGGGAAGUCUUUUAUAUAAUAUCCUUCUGGGGGAAUUCUUAUUUAAGCAAGGUAUAUUAUUUUUUUUCCUCAGAUUUAAGUGAAUGAAAUGUUCAUCUAAUUUUUAUUUGCUGAUAAGAAGUUUGAGUAGUUGUAGCUAGCUUAACGUGCACUUUGCUUGGAUUUUUUAAAACAUGUUACUAUUGAGACUACGUAUUGUAAAACUUCUGUAACCUUUAUGGAUGAAUGACGGAAGAAAAGUUAAACCUAAUGAAAGAAUUUUGGAAUAAAAAAAGAAGGUGGUGCUGGGGAAAUUUAUUAUAGUUCACAAAGUAUGCCUUUGUAAACCUGAAUCAACUUUUAGCAAGAAUUAAUUUAUGUAGUUCUAAAUGUUAAAUUGUGUAUAUUUAAUAGAAAAUACUUAUUUGGCACCUCAGCAGUUUUCUUCAAAUGUUACUUUAUACUUUUAACAAUAUAAUUUAUAUUGGCUACAUAGAUGUUUUGAUAAGAUUUUAUCAAAUUUGAUAAUGUAAUGAUAAAAUGUUUUUUAAAUGUGAACUAUUUACCAUAUAUCUUAGUAACUGAGGACACAAUACCUGAAUUGUGAUUUCAACCUAAUGUGAUAAUUAGGGUUCAAAUUAUGGCUCAUCAUUUAAUUGAUUAUAAACGAGUAUAUUUCUGAACUCUUGCCUCCAUUUUUACAAUCAUAUAGCAGUAAUUUCUAUUUUUAUUUUAUAGAAAUGUGGUGAAGUUAUACGUUAUGAUACCUUUACCUUUGAGUUCUGCGGGAAAAGGGUUUAUAUUUUGUAGUUAAGGUAAAUUUGAAAAUUCUAAUAGUACAAAUCCCCUUUUCCAAAUUUAUCCAUACUAUUUAUUGCCAUUUUGGUUGAGGAUUUGCUUGAUUUGUGCCUGAUUUUGGAGGCAAAUAAUGCUGUUUUUUAAACUCAGUACAGUUACAUAAAUGGUUUUUACCAGAGCAUUCUUGCCAUCUUAUUUUCUUUACUGCCUGUUGGGUAAUUGGCAUUUUCUAUUGACCAACUCAUUUAUUUACAACUUUGCUCAGGCUCAGUAUUUUGUGUUAAUGGGGCUUUUGACUUCUCUUUGGUUGAUCUUUUUUUAAUCUGUCAAGAAAAUAAUGAUAAAAGGUGCACAGCCUUUGUAGUAGAUGGAAUUCCUAAAAAGUAAUAUUUUUCUUUAUGGUGUUUUAAAGACAAAUUAUUUUGGAAAUCAUUUUAUAAUUAGCCAAGUUUAAAAUUGAGAUUCUAAAGGUGGGUUUUUAAUUUAGGUAUAUCCAAUUUUUUCUUAGGAGUAUUUCUUAAGUAUUUUCAGUUUAAUUUUUUUCUUGUAUUUGUGCUGUGCAGAAAUCAGUGUAGCCUGUGACUUAGAGCAUUGGUUUUCAAACCGUCCUUUGAGGCCGCCCUAUCUCCUGACAUUGGGCCCUAGCAGGCAGGUUGGGUCUCCUUCCACUUAUCUGUAGCUUUCUACUGUAUCUCUUGUAGGUUAGUGGCAUUUCAUAUGAGAUUUGAUUUGGGGGAAAAUGUUUGGUUAAAAAUAUUUUUGUUUUUUGAUGGCUGGCUUAGAGGGAAUAGUACCUCUUUGGCAGAUUUUUCAGUAGAAUGGAAAGAGAGAGAGUCAGACUGAAAUUAAAGCAGGCCUAAUCAUGGAAGGCAGCACUGCUUCGAAAAGAAGAAUCCAGCAAAUAAAUUUACAGCAAAGGAAGAAUUUUGAAUCAAAAUAGUGAAAACACGGCUUAAUUUGAAGCAAUGAAAAGUUUGAAACUUAUCAGAAGAGGCAGCGUGUGAGUGACUUAGUGACCAAAGAAAAGAAGACAAAAAUGGAUAAUGUUCAUUUUUUAUUGGGAAUGUAUAUAUCUAUUUAGAUGCAUGUUCAGUAUAAAUAUUAAAACUUUAUUUCAAGUUAUAAAAUAUUCUAAGAAAACUUUGUAUCUAAUAGAAAACUUGGGCAAUACCAAAUGAGACUUUUACACAAAGGAAUAUUGUAGGUCUUAAAUUUAGGGGGAAACAAAAUGGCUAAGAGAAAAUAUAAUGUAAGCUCUAGACAAUGAAUUUUGUCACAUAGUUAACAUGACACAUAGCAUAUUUGAUCGGUAAGUUUUAGAGAAGUACUUGGAAUCAUCUAAAAAUAGCAUGUUUAGUUUUCAAGCAAAUGCUAAUAAUAUUCUUAAUCCUGAUAGUAUAUUGGAAUUAAUUGCUUUGAAAUUAUAUGAAGUGAAUAGGCUGUCAGCCAGAGCUUUAAAAUAGUCAUUGCUAAGACUUUGUUGUAAUGAUGCUUAAAAAAAAAUAGCUUUAUUGAGGUAUAAUUUACACACCAUAAAAUUCACCCAUUGUAAAUGUACAAUUCAAUAGUUUCAGUAAAUUUAUAGAGUUGUGGAAAUAUCAUCACAAUCUAGUUUUGGCACAUUUCCAUCAGCCUAUAAAAGUUUCCCUAAUGCUCCUUUGCAGUUAAUUCUUGCUCCUACCUCCAGCCCUAGGAGCCGCACUGAUCUGUUUCUGUAAAUUUUCCCUGUCUUGAAAUUACACGUGAAUAGAAUCAUACAAUUUCAAGUCUUCUAUAUCUGGCUUCCUUCACUUAGCAUAAUGUGUUUGAGGUUCGUCCACGUUGUAGCAUAUACCUGUAGUUAGUUCGUUUAGUUGCUAUAUAGUAUUCCGGUGUGGGUAUACUGCAUUCUGUCUAUCCUUUCACCAUAAUGGAUAUUUGGGUUCACAUUUUUGGUUAUUAUGAAUAAUGAUGCCAUAAACAUUCACGUUUUCAUUCCUGGGAGUGUAAAUUUGGGUUGUUUGGAAAAUUUAUGUUUAACUUCCAAAAAACUGCCAAACUGUUUUCCGAAGUGGCUCUACCAUUUAAAAAUAUUUCUACCACAAUGCAUAAGGGUUGCAGUUUCUCCACAUCCUCGAGAAUACUUGCUGCUGUUGUUAUUAUAGUCAUUCUGGUGGGUAUGUAUUUUAAGUGUGCAAGUUAUGCCUGAGUAUCCUAACUCGUGUGUCUAUUGGAUAUGCAGUUUGGGUGAGUAUAAGGUGGCCUGAGGGGUUGCAGUAAGAUUACUUACUGUAGAUAUGUAUUUACUUGAAGGUAGUAUUUUCUGUAGCCACUCAAGGGAGUGAUUAUAUCCUUCCAGUCGGAGUUGCGGUCCCUGAGUGACCUCUGGUGAGGAGACGGACCGCUCGGGUGAAGAGUGGUGCUGAUGGCUGGUGCUUUGUCCUGUUGUGUGCACCACAGUUGAUGUAGCAGCCCAGUUAGCCUGUGACUG